GCCGUUGUUCUGAACUGUCGCAAUCCAAUGCGUGCGUUCCCUUUAAAGGAUAGGAACAACGGUUUUU
rnacentral:ncRNA from 12 species